UACGGAGGGUGCGAGCGUUGUCCGGAAUCACUGGGCGUAAAGGGCGCGUAGGCGGCCUGAUAAGUAGGGGGUGAAAUCCUGCGGCUUAACCGCAGGGCUGCCUUCUAAACUGUCAGGCUGGAGCACAGUAGAGGCAGGUGGAAUUCCCGGUGUAGCGGUGGAAUGCGUAGAGAUCGGGAAGAACAUCAGUGGCGAAGGCGGCUCACUGGACUGGUAUUGACGCUGAGGUGCGAAAGCGUGGGGAGCAAACAGGG
rnacentral:rRNA from 1 species